GUGAGGAAUAUUGGUCAAUGGGCGAGAGCCUGAACCAGCCAAGUCGCGUGAAGGAUGAAGGUUUUAUGAAUUGUAAACUUCUUUUGCAGGGGAAUAAAGUACGGUACGUGUACCGUUUUGUAUGUACUCUGCGAAUAAGGAUCGGCUAACUCCGUGCCAGCAGCCGCGGUAAUACGGAGGAUCCAAGCGUUAUCCGGAUUUAUUGGGUUUAAAGGGUGCGCAGGCGGGUUGAUAAGUCAGCGGUGAAAGUUUGCAGCUUAACUGUAAAAAUGCCGUUGAAACUGUCGGACUUGAGUGUAAAUGAGGUAGGCGGAAUGCGUGGUGUAGCGGUGAAAUGCAUAGAUAUCACGCAGAACUCCGAUUGCGAAGGCAGCUUACUAAGCUACAACUGACACUGAAGCACGAAAGCGUGGGGAUCAAACAGGAUUAGAUACCCAGUAGUCC
rnacentral:rRNA from 1 species